rnacentral:rRNA from 1 species
AUUGAACGCUGGCGGCAGGCCUAACACAUGCAAGUCGAGCGGAUGUGAGGAGCUUGCUCCUUGAUUUAGCGGCGGACGGGUGAGUAAUGCCUAGGAAUCUGCCUGGUAGUGGGGGAGAACGCUCCGAAAGGAACGCUAAUACCGCGUACGUCCCACGGGAGAAAGCAGGGGACCUGCGGGCCUUGCGCUAUCAGAUGAGCCUACGUCGGAUUAGCUAGUUGGUGAGGUAAUGGCUCACCAAGGCGACGAUCCGUAACUGGUCUGAGAGGAUGAUCAGUCACACUGGAACUGAGACACGGUCCAGACUCCUACGGGAGGCAGCAGUGGGGAAUAUUGGACAAUGGGCGAAAGCCUGAUCCAGCCAUGCCGCGUGUGUGAAGAAGGUCUUCGGAUUGUAAAGCACUUUAAGUUGGGAGGAAGGGCAGUAAGUUAAUACCUUGCUGUUUUGACGUUACCGACAGAAUAAGCACCGGCUAACUUCGUGCCAGCAGCCGCAGUAAAAC